rnacentral:rRNA from 1 species
UACAGGGGGUGCAAGCGUUACUCGGAAUUACUGGGCGUAAAGAGCGCGUAGGCGGUUUGUUAAGUCUGGUGUGAAAUCCCUGGUCUUAAACCAGGAAGUGCAUUGGAUACUGGCGAACUUGAGUGUAGGAGAGGUGGGCGGAAUUCCUGGUGUAGAGGUGAAAUUCGUAGAUAUCAGGAGGAACAACAGAGGCGAAGGCGGCCCACUGGACUACAACUGACGCUGAGGCGCGAAAGCGUGGGGAGCAAACAGG